UCAAAUGAAAAAGUCAACUCUGGGGUGUUC
rnacentral:piRNA from 1 species